rnacentral:rRNA from 1 species
AACGGCCAUACCAUGCUGAAUAUACCGGUUCUCGUUAGAUCACCGAAGUCAAGCAUCAUUGGGCUCGUCAGUACUUGGGUGGGUGACCACCUGGGAACACCGCGUGCCGUUA